rnacentral:rRNA from 1 species
ACAGAACUUUCCAGAGAUGGAUUGGUGCCUUCGGGAACUGUGAGACAGGUGCUGCAUGGCUGUCGUCAGCUCGUGUUGUGAAAUGUUGGGUUAAGUCCCGCAACGAGCGCAACCCUUAUCCUUUGUUGCCAGCGGUUCGGCCGGGAACUCAAAGGAGACUGCCAGUGAUAAACUGGAGGAAGGUGGGGAUGACGUCAAGUCAUCAUGGCCCUUACGACCAGGGCUACACACGUGCUACAAUGGCAUAUACAAAGAGAAGCGACCUCGCGAGAG